rnacentral:rRNA from 1 species
GGCAGUGACGCCGCGGCGGGCGCGUUAAGCGGUGGGUGCCGGUCGUUUGCGGGAUGUUAUGGGCGUAAUGAUGCCGUAGGCGGCGUGUGGCGUCGGCUGGGAAAACCCGCGGCUCAACCUUGGGCUUGCAGCCGAUACGGGCAGGCUGGAGUUCGGUAGGGGAGACUGGAAUUCCUGGUGUAGCGGUGAAAUGCGCAGAUAUCAGGAGGAACACCGGUGGCGAAGGCGGGUCUCUGGGCCGAUACUGACGCUGAGGAGCGAAAGCGUGGGGAGCGAACAGGAUUAGAUACCCCUGUAGUC